rnacentral:misc_RNA from 1 species
UACAUACAAUUAUAAGCAACAUACAACCUGAGCGAGUAUCUCCCAGUGAUCAACAGCACCAAGACAUAAAGAGGGAUCAAAUUAAUAAUAAACACAUAACCUCCCCAUGCAGACACCAUAUAGAAAUAUCCAAAAGCAGAAGCCAGUGCCCAAGAAAGGGAGCCCGUGUUGACAGCCUUAACAAACAAGAAAAAGGUCAAUAAUAGAGCGAAAAUGGCAACUCCCUCGUUAUCAUAAGACCCAGCAACGGAUCGAGAAAUAUAGCCAGGACAUAUGGCAAUUAAAGCAGCAGCAACCAGACCAGCACCAGAGUCCCAAAUCUCUUUACCAAAGAAAUAGGCGACAAGGGUCGUGUUAGAGGCGAAGAAUGGCGCGGUCAAGACACAGACCUCGCGGAUAUG